GACAGGUGGAGUUACGCACAGAGCUCUCCCCACAAGCCCUGCCCAGGACCACGCAGGAGCUUGGCAUUCAGGAGGACCUGGGGGUGGGUCUGACUCUUUUCUCCUUCUCCUUCUAGGCUCCAAACCUUCGGGGGGCUUUGCUAAAAGACACCCAACCUCGAAUUAGUUCCACUCCAUUUCCAGUUUCCCAGGCUGUGCACGUGGUUUCAACAAAGCCGGUCAGACCUCAAAUGGAGUUCAUUAUAAUGGAAUUUUACCUGAGGCAGCCCCUCCCCCACUUCUUAACAUCAUGGCACCCAAGAUAUGGGUGUGCUUGCCAAAGAGGCUGGGCAGAAGUCACUUCCUGCCCCUGGCAGAAGUCCGGAAAUUCAGAGCCGUUUGGAACAAAGAACUCUGCCCCGAAGGUGUUUUCCAGCAUCUCCCUGGCCAGAUUGGAACUGCCCCAUUCACCCUCGUACCACCUGCUGCGUUUUUUCCAGCCCUCCUAGACAGGAAGGGGAGGAGGGAAGACUGAGCUGAAUGACCAGGACACUGCAGGAAAGGCAAUGCACAAAAAUGAAGCCUGUAUCAAGUGUUGAAAAGGAUGGAGAACAAUGGAGACUUUCAUCCACUGCUGGAAGUGUUUUUUGGGACAACCACUUUGGAAAGCUGUUUGGCACCCUAUAGCAAUGCUGAACAUAGAAUUCCAUGGGAGGCAGCAAUUCCAACCCUAGGUAUGUGCCCUACAGAAAUUCUUGUGAGUUUCUCAUGAACCAGAAGACAAGUAUAACAUGUACACCCCUAGCAGUACUGUCCUAUCGUAAUAGCUCAACUGGAAACAACCCAAAUGUCCAUCAGUGAGAGGAGGAUAUACAAAUCGUGGUGUAUUUUUCCAAUGGAAUUCUACACAGCAGUGCAAACUCAUGAACUGCAGUGGUGUGCAUCGACAUGGAUGAACCUCAGAAAACUCAUAUUGACUCAAAGAAGAGUGCAUCACAGAGAACACACAGGUAUGCGAACUUCAAAGCCAUGUGAAAUGAAACAACAUAGUGUUUUGUAAAAUCUACAUAGAUGAUAACUUACAAAGAAAAGCAAGGAAACAAUUAACCAAAAUUCACUUUGGGGUGGGGAGUAAGGAAGGGGAAUGCAAAUGGGGAGAGGCAGAGGGGGCUUUUAAGGUGCUGUGAAUGCUCCACUCUUAACUUAGGUGGUAGGUACAGGGUAUAGGAUUCUUUAAUCUAUACAUAAACAUAUAAUCUUGUGUAUGUGAUAUAUCGCGGUUUUUAAAAAUGAACAAAAAAGAAUUGAAGAACCCAAGUUGCAGAGAAGCUAAGUAACCUUCACAAGCUCAUCAGCU
rnacentral:lncRNA from 10 species